AAGAAAACACAGAGACAAGACAAAGACAACGUUAACAUAUGCAGAGGUCGUGGAGUGGCAGUGGUAGUGUUUGGCGGAAGAAACCAUCCUUGGACUUGGACUUGGACAUGGACACCGACCAACACCUCCCCACAUACGAUCCCCUCUCCCACGUUGCCCAGAGACACCUCUCUCGUCUCAGAUCAGCACAAAACGCCGUCCAUCUCAUCCCUCUCCUCGUUCUCUUCUGCGCCGUCGUUCUCUGGUUCUUCUCUGCUCCCACUUCUCCGUCACAUCAUCAUUAAAGAUUUCUAUUUCGGACUAUGGUCAACGCCUGCAUAAAAAGCGUGCUCUGUCUUUCCUUCACUUUUCACGAGACUCUCGGCAACGAGGAAGAAGACCUGAACUGCUUGCGGCAUCGUCUGUUUAUUAGAUUGUCUAUCAAUAGAUUGCUUAACACACCACUGGGUUCUCCCACUGCAAAGCGGAACCCACAAGGUUUGCACGUAUGGUUAGUGGAAACACACGGGGCCAUCUUUCAGCGCCAUAGGAUCUGAAAGCUUCUUCCACAGAAGGGUCUUCAGAUUUGAUUGCUCCGGCAAGCUUUUUGGCAAGAACCACCGAGUCCUCCAGUGCACAACAAGCUCCUUGUCCAAGAUUUGGGGUCAUUGGAUGCCACGCAUCUCCAACCACCACAACUCUUCCAGCAGAAGCACCAGGACUUAUGGCUGGCCAAAGCCAUCUAUCUACCAAUGGAGUCUUGAUCACAGUAUCAUCUGGUGUAGAAUCCACUAUGUUCAAUAGCUCUGAAGGCCAAUCCUUCACCAGUUCCUUAGCUUGGUUCUUCAGCACCAAUGAGUCGGUUAUUUUUGGACCUGCCAUCGAACAUAUACACAAUAUCAUGCUAGUUACAACUACAAAAAGUCAGUGAUUUCACCAUGGAUUUUGUUCGUGUUGGCAACCUGGAGAAGGACUAUUGAAGCAGAUGAACCAGUAAACUUUGGUCGGAGAAACAGGAACAAAGCCGGCGCGCAAACCUCUGCCGUAGAUGUAAUUCACUCUGGGUCGAAAAGGUUGUCCAUCAGAAUAAGACGCAAGUCCUCUGAAAGCACAGUGACCAACGUACUUGGGCUCAGGAAAUCCCAUCCACUUGGCUAUAGGUGAUCGAAUUCCAUCGCACCCUAUCACAGUCUAUUUAGAGAUUAAAUCGAUUUUCUGUUUCCAACAUUCAGUAAAUCGUAGAACACUGUAACACUAAGAUUUCAAUUAUGACCAAUCAUUGCAUUAACUAAACAUGUGAUCAAUGAUUUCCAAUGCAUGCAGCUGGAAAAUUUAGUGCUAUGCUAUGCUAUAAUAAUUACAGCACCAUGACAUGACUCACCUUUGCAAGCAGCUUUGACCCAUCCACAAGUUCCAACAAGGUAUCCCCGUCUGAAGUGGCUUCAAUCUUUGCUAAUUGUGAAGAAAAUUUAAUGGUUUCCUUUGGUAGCUGACCAGCCAAGGUUUCCAAAAGCACUCUCCUCUCCACUGCACGCACCUCUUGACUGCAUUUCAUGCCUUAAUAUAUCAAUAACCAGUGCUUGAUGACAGUUAAAAAUUGCUCGUAGUUCCCUCCCAUCCUCGGAAUUCACCACCAUCCUGUACAGCUGAUAAUGUGAACCAGAUCAAGCUCAGCCGGUAUAAAGAUUAAAAAAGAUGAAAAUUUUCCUUCAUGCGUUCAUCCAUGUACCCUUGA